AUUAUGCUCCCUCCGUCCGAAAAUACUUGUCAUCAAAAUGGACAAAAAGAGAUGUAUCUAAAACUAAAAUACAUCUAAAUACAUCCCCUUUUAUUCAUUUUGAUGACAAGUAUUUCCGGACGGAGGGAGUACAUA
rnacentral:pre_miRNA from 1 species